GAAUAGCAUUGAAUCUAGAAACUGCUUUGGGCAGUAGGGCCAUUUUAAUAAUAUUGAUUCCUCCUAUGCAUAUGGCUCAACAAUUUUAAUCAGGAUAUGAUCUCAUGAUGUGUCUUAUCUUAAAAACAAAAAGUUGUAUCAUUCUAGUAAUAGGCAAAGAAACGAAGACUGUUUGAGUAGUAAUGAGUAGCCAGAGUGCCCAGAGUUUCAUAUCUAAAUAUCUUUUUUUAUAGAAAUAGGUAAUUUCAGGACAAGUAAUGUAUAACCCUUAAAAUCUCUUAUAAAAGAAGACAAAACACUACCUUACACUAUUAGGAUAUAUUAUAUAGACUCAGGAGACAAUAUGAAGAAGUUCUUAUUGGCCAAAUUUGAGAUUAUUUUAGCAUCAGUGAGAAUCUUAACAGUGAUGGAUUAAAUAUGUUUAAAACUAUGAAUUUAAAUGGAUACUAAAAUAAAAUCCCCUUUUGCCUUCUUUGAAGGAGAGUUCAGGAAAAAAAUCAUUAUAUUGAAAGUAGAGAUAAAUAAUUGAGCAUUUUUCCUGUCUUUUCUAUAAGGUCUGUUUUUCAAGUUACAUGAAUAGUUGAUAAGAUGAUGUUUUCCAUUAAAUAUAUUCUAGGGAAUAAGUGAAUGUCAUCUCAAAAUGCCAAUGAAAUAAGAAAUCUAAUGAAUGAUCAGCAAUGAUGGCCAAAUUCAUGAAAAGAGAGAAAGUUAACACACGGCAUCUGAUAGAUGUACAUGACAUCACCAAUAAAGUAUUCUUGCCAAAAAUAAUGGAACCCGAAUUUUAUCAACCUUAGAGCUCCAAUUACAAAUAAGCAGGAAAUAUAUAGACAGUAGAGAGUAGAGCAUCAUGUUAACCUACUCCAUAGAAAAGCAAUUGCAAACAAAUCCUGACUGUGAGAAACACUAUCAGACAAAGUUUCUGGUUCUUUCAAGAAAUGAACUGCAAGAAAAAAAAAGGGAGUUUUAAAGACAGCCUAGAGAGGCUGCUUGUACCCUUCACCCAGUUUUUUCCAUUGGUUACACUUGAUGUAUGCAUUUGUGAGUUAUAUUCUUUUCCUUCUCCCUGAAGAACUUUUAACAUUUCUCACAAGUCAUAUUUUCUAGUGAUGAAUUCCCUCAGUUUUUGUCUAAGAAGGUCUUUAUUUAUUCUACAUGUUCAAAGGAUAGUUUUGCAGAACAUAGAGAACGGUCUGUAGUUCAGGGCCUUCUUCUCCACAGAAGCAAUCUUGACUGUCGAUCUCCAAAUUGGCCUGUCUCCCCAGAGUUUUAUAUUGAUGAUAAAACUGGCAGCUUCGGUUAUUGAGCAGAACUUAACAACAUUAAGAACCAGGAAUGAAAGUCUUUGAACUGAGCUGAUAUGCCUUCUUCUUUUACAUGGCUCAGAAUGAAUGCAGUCUACAGUCUUUCCUCCUCAUCCUCACAUCCACAGACUCUGCUUUUGCUCAGUGGUGUGGAAACAGCACAGAGCUGGAGAUCAGAACAACAGAUUUUGAAUAACUUCUCCAUCACUCUCUGGCCUACUAGAAAAUAUGGUAGGCUUUCUUAGCCUCAUAAUUUGAAGAGUUGUUAUGAAGAGUAUAUUCUGCUAAAUGAGAAAACAGUGGUUUGUAGAAUGUAAUGGAACCAUGGAACCUUUAAUAUAAUAGGUUUUUAAUAUCAUAAGUUGAUUCUAGAUCCUGUAAUUAAAUUGUAAAUAGAUUUGGCCUUGUGUGCACCCACUCGACUUUUUUCUAUUAAAUCUGCUAUUGGCCUAUUUUCAGUAUACAGACUUAAGGUAAGAACAUUACAUGACAGCACAUAUUAUGAAGGUGCUAAGUAAGAGUACAAAUAGGUGACUGGGUUUUAUUGCAAAGGUCAGGAAAUAGAGUUUUUAAGAUUGAUUCUGACAUAUAAUAUAUAUAUAGUGCUUUAUCCCUUUGGGCUGUCUUCCCAGUGAUUGAAAAAAAUGACUCCCCUUCAUUAAUACUUCUUUCAUCAUAGGCCAAGGUGGUUUUAUUACACUUUUCCUACAUGAGAUUUUACAUCAUCAAUAUGAAACAAAUUAUGGUGUGUACCAGUAUAUUAACCAUUCAUAAAUGAGUAAUAUUUAAAUAUGUAGUCAUAUCAUGAUGAAGUUUUACUUUUAUUAAUUAAUAUGUCUACACUAAGUUGAAUCAUCGGCUUAAAAAUCAACUUCUUUUGGUGUCAGCCCAUUUGUUUCAUUUGUUUGUCAGCCCAUUUGU
rnacentral:lncRNA from 1 species